UUUUUUUCUCUGAUUUCCUAGUGGGGUUGUAUUGUUUCGUCAUGUGUGGUGCUUGCAUGUGGCCUUGUUCCUUGGCUCUUGAACGUCUUCACAUUGGUUGGUGUGGGGCUGUUGCAUUCCACGAUGGAUGCCUUGCGGAAGGCGCCUGCCAUGCCCAUGUUGGUGCCCUAUUUUGUACCCAUGUAUUGAAGCUUCUUGUCCGUUUCCCUUUGGUUAGUGAUGUACAUGCUAGCUCUUCUAAAAUAAGGGCUGAAGGCGGACGUUCUGUACCAUGUUGGAUCUGUGGACCAUCUAGGGAUAAUAAUAGGUUCAUAAACUGAUUUUCUGUUUACAAAUGUCUCCA
rnacentral:lncRNA from 1 species